CAGAGGCGAGCAGGUACCUGGAGGGCUCGGGGACCGCACAUCACCGAGAGGGGGAGGGGCCCGGGGCUUCCCCUGCUGGAGCUGCGGCCAUGGGGGGUCCUUCCUCAGCGACCCCCACCCAGUCCUGGAUACCCCCUGCCAGCGAGGCCGGGCUGGCUGCUGUGACUCCCGAUGGCUGGCUGUGUGCCCCUCCUGGCAGAGGAUGCGGGG